ACUUAAAUAGCUUAUAAAAGAGCAUAAUCUUGAAGAGAUUAGGGAAAUCUAUGAUUUUUAAGUA
rnacentral:tRNA from 1 species